rnacentral:lncRNA from 1 species
AUGAAGCCAAGGAAGUUGAAGAUGCUGGAAGUUACCAGACACCAGGUCACUGUGGAGGUCAGGGGACCCAUCACAGGAUUUAAAUCCACUUUGCAUUUUAUGUACAUCUGCAUUUAUUUUGUGUCUGCAUCUGCAUUAAGAAAAUGGAAGCCUCAUAGAAGCUGGGAGCUGUUUUUUUUUUUCUUCUUGAGAGAAGUUCUCCCUAUGUAGUUCAGGCUGCCCUUGACCUCACUACGGCCUCAAAUUUGUGGCAAUCUUCCUGCCUCAGCCUGCUGAGUGCUGGGAUUAUGGGAGCCAGUUUUAACUGCUACAACUCUAGCAUAUGGUCGGUGUUUAAACUUUGAACUAAUGAAUAUAUAUCAUACAUAUUUUUGUUGAUUUAUGUGUUAUUUGUGUUCUUUCCUCUCUUGGCCUCCACAAGAACACAAUUUGAAUUGGUUAACAUAUAUUUAAGAUUUUAAAGUGCUGAUAAAAGAGCUGAUAGACUAUCCUAUGAAAGCUACAAAACAUUGAUGGAAGAACUCUAAAAAGACAUGCAUAAAUGGUCAGAGAUGGAAAGACUUGCUAUUAUUAAAAUGUCACUACUACCCAAAGUGAUCUACAGAUUCAAUGUAACUCCUAUCAAAAUACAGUGAUGCUUUUUGUAAAAAUAGAAAAACCCAUCCUGAAAUUCAUAUGGAAUCUCUAGGGACCCCAAGGAGCCAAACAAAGAUUGAAAAAGAACAAAGCUAGAGGACUCAUGUUCCAGAUUUCAAAACUUACUUCAAAGCUUCAGUAAUCAAAACAGAUGGUACUCGCAAAUGACAUACCAGUGAAAUUAUUCCAAACAAAGAGUGCAGAAGCAAACCUACAAAUACUUGGUGUCUUAGUUAUUUUUCUCAUUGCUGAGACAAAAUACCUGACACCCAAAUUUAAAGGAGGCAAGGUUUAUUUAGCUCACAGUUUGUAGAGGUUUCAGUCCAUAGCUGGCUGGCUCCAAGACAGCAGAGGAGCAUCACAGAGGAGAAAUAUUUCAUGGCGGCCAGAGGGCAGAAGGCAGCCAGUGACAAGUGAUAAGCAAUCACCACAGAACUUUCUCUCCCUUCUAUGGUAUCCAGGCUAGGGUGGGUAGCACUCAUACCCUUAAUCCUAGCAUCGCAUUGUGAAUCAAUCCCAGCCUCACAUCCUUGAUCCUAGCUAGCAGCACACAUGCUAUAUCCAGCCACCUCUGAAAAGCCCCACUUAUGAUCUCAGGAGGCUUUGGGGGACAUCUAGAUAGAAGCUAUCACACCUGGUCAGAGUCUUUGACAAGAGUGCUAUAGGGAAAGGGCAGACUUUUGACAAAUGCUGAAGAUGCAUGCUCCACAUGCAAAAGAAUGAAGUUGAAC